rfam:Streptomyces sp. CB01883 scaffold6, whole genome shotgun sequence.
CUUGAGCGAGCCCAGGUACAGGGGGCGUCCGGCGGGCCGCCCCUGACCGUAGGUGGCGAGCAGCGCGUGGGCCUC